rnacentral:lncRNA from 1 species
CCGGACGUGGGCGCGCACUGCUCCUGGCCCGCCUGCCAGCGCCUGGACUUCCUCCCCCUCAAGUGUGACGCCUGCGAGCAGAUCUUCUGCACCGACCACAUCGCUUACGCCCAGCACGACUGCACCUCUGCCUACAAGAAGGAUGUCCAGGUCCCUGUGUGUCCCCUCUGCAACACCCCGGUCCCCGUGAGGCGCGGGGAGAUGCCCGAUGUCGUGGUGGGUGAGCACAUCGACCGUGACUGCAAGUCUGACCCUGCACAGCGCAAGUGCAAGAUCUUCACCAACAAGUGUUUGAAGCCUGGCUGCAAGCAGAAGGAGAUGAUGAAGGUGAUUUGUGACCAGUGCCACAAGAACUACUGCCUCAAGCACCGGCACCCCCUGGACCAUGACUGCAGUGGGGCAGGGCGUCCACUCUCCAAAGCAGGGCACGCUGCAGUUGCGAGAGCCCAGGCAUCCUCCUCCAAAACGGUUGCUGCAUCGAGCAGUGGAGCUGCCCGGCCAGCAGACAGCCCCUCUUCUCCAGCCUCUGCCAGGUGAGGUGGGCAUGGCCAGGCUCAGCUUGGCUCCCUGUGGGAUGCAGGAGCGGCAGCUCCCUGCUGCCUGUGCACCAGCAGGGCUGUGUGCUCGUACCAGGACUCCCUGCCUUGACAAUAACCCAGCUUCUCUCCUGUCUGCAGAGGAGGCCGAGCAGCUGCGCCGCAGGCUCGCAGCACCUCCCCUCCAGCUGUCAUGCUGCAGAACGGGCUGAGUGAGGAAGAGGCUCUGCAGCGAGCUCUGGAGAUGUCCCUGGCAGAGUCAGCACGCAGCUCAGCACAGCCACCCAGCACGCAGGAGGAGGAGGAUCUGGCACUGGCCCGGGCGCUGUCAGCGAGUGAAGCCGAGUACCAGCAGUCACAGCGGCAGGCACAGGGUUCAAAGCCAUCGAACUGCAGCAUGUCGUAGGCAGGUGAAGCAGGGUGCGCCAGUGGAUGUGGGAUCCCACUUGUGACCUGAGGAGCAGCUCUGGCCUCCCGCGUGGAUGCCAUGGGGUUCUGGCAUGGGCACUGAUGAUAAGAGCCUCUCGCCAGAGACAACUCAUCUCCCUGGGGGACUGUAGGCGAGCCACCAUGCACACACUGACACCUCAACCCUAGUACCUGUAUAAAAUCAGUGCAGCAAGUUGCUGAUGCUCCUGGAGAGGUGAAGACAGGAUGGAAGGAGGCUGAGCACACACUGACCAAAGCAGGUGGUAGCCCACAGCAUGCACUUAGCCACAGCUGCUGUGGCUGUGUCCCAGCACUGCUGGGAUUCUGGGGUGAGGGCAGAGCUGGCCUGGAGGGAAGUUCCAUGUGGGCUCAUCUCUGCGUGCUCAGACGUACUGCUGGGAUACAGCUGCCUGCUGCAGUGGUGGGGGCUGGAUUUCACACUCCUGGGGGACUGUUGCCAGCUUCUUGGCAAAGAGCACCUGUGGCUGGGAAGGUCUCUUGCCUGGGCAUGGCACAGCUGAAUGUGCAGCCUCCCAUCAGCGUGGAGUGAGCCCCUUCCCUGCUCCCCAUGCCUCGGUGCCUCCCCUGCUGUCUGCAUGCACAAGACUACACGGGGCCGUACUCACCUUGGCUGGGGCCCAGCACCUCUCUCAGGCUGAAUGAGCUGUGUUUCCUUUCUGGUUUAAUUUAACAAGGGCCGUUAUCUGAAAAGUAACCUCAGCAGUGACUUUACGGUAGCGUCGCUCGCAUGGGAGGACCGCAGCUGCCUUCCUGCUGCUGUGUGCUGCCUGAAACGAUCCUAGGGCCUUGUUUCAAUGCUGCUGGGGCAGGAACGCUUCCCUCCUUGCAGCUGUGCUGCAGGGAAUUUCCCUCCUGGGUAACAGCAGCACAGAACCCCUUCUAGCAACCACAGCCCUGAGCUUGGAGCCAGCUCUUCACUGCUGGUGUUUGGAGGCAGGAACUGAUGCCUGGGCAGGGGUCACUUGUCCUGCUUGCCCCUUGCAGGGGGCUCUGCAGCAGAGCAGAGUGGUGCUGCUUUCCCACCUGCUGUCAUGCAUUUCUGCUGGAACCACUCUUGCCUGGAGGGCUGUGCCUGGCUCUGCACAGGGCUGGUCCUACAGCUGAGGGGGGGUUACCUGCUGGCAGUGACUCCCUGGGGUGGGAGGUGGGUUCAGGCUGGGCUCAGGGAAUGCUGAGACUUGUCAAAGUGCUGCUUGGGAGAAAAUAAAAGCAAAGCACAAGGUGCAGAA